rnacentral:rRNA from 1 species
CCUACGGGUGGCUGCAGUGGGGAAUAUUGGACAAUGGGCGAAAGCCUGAUCCAGCCAUGCCGCGUGUGUGAAGAAGGCCUUCGGGUUGUAAAGCACUUUCAGUGGGGAAGAAAGCCUUGGGGCUAAUACCCUCGAUGAAGGACAUCACCCACAGAAGAAGCACCGGCUAACUCCGUGCCAGCAGCCGCGGUAAUACGGAGGGUGCGAGCGUUAAUCGGAAUUACUGGGCGUAAAGCGCGCGUAGGCGGUCUGAUAAGCCGGUUGGGAAAGCCCCGGGCUCAACCUGGGAACGGCAUCCGGAACUGUCAGGCUAGAGUGCAGGAGAGGAAGGUAGAAUUCCCGGUGUAGCGGUGAAAUGCGUAGAGAUCGGGAGGAAUACCAGUGGCGAAGGCGGCCUUCUGGACUGACACUGACGCUGAGGUGCGAAAGCGUGGGUAGCAAACAGGAUUAGAUACCCUAGUAGUC